rnacentral:rRNA from 1 species
UACGAAGGGGGCUAGCGUUGCUCGGAUUCACUGGGCGUAAAGGGUGCGUAGGCGGGUCUUUAAGUCAGGGGUGAAAUCCUGGAGCUCAACUCCAGAACUGCCUUUGAUACUGGGAGUCUUGAGUUCGGGAGAGGUGAGUGGAACUGCGAGUGUAGAGGUGAAAUUCGUAGAUAUUCGCAAGAACACCAGUGGCGAAGGCGGCUCACUGGCCCGAUACUGACGCUGAGGUGCGAAAGCGUGGGGAGCAAACAGG